rnacentral:rRNA from 1 species
CUGCUGCCUCCCGUAGGAGUCUGGGCCGUAUCUCAGUCCCAAUGUGGCCGUUCAACCUCUCAGUCCGGCUACUGAUCGUCGACUUGGUAAGCCGUUACCUUACCAACUAUCUAAUCAGACGCAAGGCCAUCUUUUAGCGAAUUGCUCCUUUCCCACUAUUAUCAUGUGAUAACUAUGGCAUAUGCGGUAUUAGCAAUGAUUUCUCAUUGUUAUUCCCUCUAAAGCAGGUUCUUACGCGUUA